rnacentral:rRNA from 1 species
UGCAGUCGAGCGGAUGAAAGGAGCUUGCUCCUGGAUUCAGCGGCGGACGGGUGAGUAAUGCCUAGGAAUCUGCCUGGUAGUGGGGGACAACGUUUCGAAAGGAACGCUAAUACCGCAUACGUCCUACGGGAGAAAGCAGGGGACCUUCGGGCCUUGCGCUAUCAGAUGAGCCUAGGUCGGAUUAGCUAGUUGGUGAGGUAAUGGCUCACCAAGGCGACGAUCCGUAACUGGUCUGAGAGGAUGAUCAGUCACACUGGAACUGAGACACGGUCCAGACUCCUACGGGAGGCAGCAGUGGGGAAUAUUGGACAAUGGGCGAAAGCCUGAUCCAGCCAUGCCGCGUGUGUGAAGAAGGUCUUCGGAUUGUAAAGCACUUUAAGUUGGGAGGAAGGGCAGUAAAUUAAUACUUUGCUGUUUUGACGUUACCGACAGAAUAAGCACCGGCUAACUCUGUGCCAGCAGCCGCGGUAAUACAGAGGGUGCAAGCGUUAAUCGGAAUUACUGGGCGUAAAGCGCGCGUAGGUGGUUUGUUAAG